CCUACGGGGGGCAGCAGUGAGGAAUAUUGGUCAAUGGACGAGAGUCUGAACCAGCCAAGUAGCGUGAAGGAUGACUGCCCUAUGGGUUGUAAACUUCUUUUAUAUGGGAAUAAAAUGUUCCACGUGUGGGAUUUUGUAUGUACCAUAUGAAUAAGGAUCGGCUAACUCCGUGCCAGCAGCCGCGGUAAUACGGAGGAUCCGAGCGUUACCCGGAUUUAUUGGGGUUAAAGGGGGCGUAGGUGGAUUGUUAAGUCAGGUGUGAAAGUUUGCGGCUCAACCGUAAAAUUGCAGUUGAAACUGGCAGUCUUGAGUACAGUAGAGGUGGGCGGAAUUCGUGGUGUAGCGGUGAAAUGCUUAGAUAUCACGAAGAACUCCGAUUGCGAAGGCAGUUCACUGGACUGCAACUGACACUGAGGCUCGAAAGUGUGGGUAUCAAACAGGAUUAGAUACCCCAGUAGUC
rnacentral:rRNA from 1 species